CUCGGUGCAAGAAAAUACACAGAACGCCAUGCACACCUCUAAGUGUCUCAGAGUCCGGUCAGGACCUCUGAAUUUCCUAUAGGGCAAACUCUCCCUCCCUCCCUCACCUGUUUGUAUCCCUAGGCUCGCCCUCCAUCAGUGUUUCUCAGAAGGAUUGUUCUGGGUCUAGCCUGAGGUUUGGGGUCUGUGUUGGAUGAGUGGAGUCUUGGUAAAACGCUGAUUCUCAGCGCCCACCCCAGAUUGAUGGGUUGAUGGACGGGUACUGGGGCUUGAACCCGGAGGAGCUUUGCCAUUAACAGGUCUUGCUAGGUUUCUGAGGCUGGUUUUGAACUUGAGAUCCUCCUGCCUCAGCCUCCUGAGUUGCUAGUAUUACAGGUGUCUGCCACUGUGCCUGGCUCAUGCCUAACUUAUUAAAUACGAAUAUCAGGGAGUGAGUUCUGAAAAAAAAAAUUUUUUUUUUUAAACAAACUGCCCUUCAUGAUUCUUAGGCACCAUCGGGGUUGAGAACAUCUGUCUACAUGGUGUGAUUGAGGAACUGAAUAAACG
rnacentral:lncRNA from 1 species